UUUUUCAUCCCACAAUAACUCACUAUUUUUCUCACCGACCCACAUAUCUCGUCUCUUCCUUAUCAAAUUUGUGUUCAUCUUUCUAACCCAAAUUUUCUUUCAUCUUCGACAUUGAUAACAAUCUUUACAUCAGCUUAUAUGACAUAUGCCUCAUCUCGUCUUCUUCCUCCGUCGCUGGGAAAUUCAUUAUGUUAAUCAUCUCCGCCUCACUCGCUCAGGUUCAUGAUUAACCGUUUCAUAAUUCUUUGUGCUGCUUUGAGUUUGUUAACCGCUUCAAACUAUACUACUCCGCUGGUCAAAGCUUUCGCCUUGUCAACGCCGCUUGAAUCAAUCGGAGGAGAAGAAGAUGGUGCCAAAGAAUAUUUCCCUCAUCUGUACAAGACUCGUGUUUUUCUACAACGUGAUGUUUGUCCACAGUAAGGAAGCCAUUGCAACCCAAUAAACAAGAAAUCAUAUGGAAGAUGAUGAUAUUUUCUCCAAUUCUUUGUACUAUAUUUUACAUGUUUUUAUCAUUCGAGCCUAUGUUGCUGAUGUAAUUAAUACUUAGCUAAAUUGAUAUUUUUCUGCUUUGAGAGAGAAUGUGUAUCAGACUUUUUCACAUUCGGUGUACACCUGAAAACUAUCAUAUGUUGUAUA